rnacentral:lncRNA from 1 species
UGAGACAAGGCAGAGAAACACCAAGCUCAGGAGGAUUCUGCAUUCCCACGUUUGCAAGCUUGAGAGAAACCAAAGUGUUGCUCUUGUAAAUGUUAACAUGUACGAGAUCGUUGGUGAGAGGUCGCUUGAGUGUGCUACUGCCAACGUCUAGUUGUUGAACUCCACGGUUAACCAUUCCGGCAAUGAACUCACUGGUCCCAUGGAGACAAACAUUGCGUCCGUUGUACGUUAUCUUGAACCUCUGCAGACGCGAGCCACGGUUGAUCUGGAAAAACGUGACGAUGAAGUUCCGUAUGGCGGGGGGUUCAUGGGAGUGAAACUCUAGCCCUGGGACCUGAAGCCAUAGAUCUUUAAAUCUCUUCGAUAAAAAGCUCGUCUUGAUAGACUCUUUGGUGGGAAGGUACAAGAGUAUCUGAGUUAUCAAAGUGUCCGGAAGCAAGCUGAGUCUAUCUGAGGUAUCACGGAAACGGUUAUAGAGUUCUUUAACUUCCUUCAGAAGAUAAUGUAUGCGAACUUCAAGAUCACGUGGAUUCGAGUACUCCUCCUGCCAACAAGAAUCAAAUCAUCAAGAACUAGAAGAAGAAUGAGACUUAUCAGAAUUGGUAAAAAAAGGUUUGAGACGAACCUCUGAGUUCGCCGAGCUCAUCAGUUUAGACUCUAGAUAGUCUGUGUAUAUAGAGAUAAACAUUUGGAGUGUUCUACUAGAAGUCCCCGGAGUUACUCUCCGUUGUAAGAUAACGUUACUGGAUAGAUUGAGAUAUUGUCAAUACAGUGAAGAAGGAAUAAAAGCAUUGAAUGAAAGAAAGAAAGAAGACCGUUACAUUCUUGUUCGCAUAGCUUGACGUGAUGUGUCAUUGAAACGAAUCUGCCGAGGAUGAGCAAGAUCAUAGUCCUGCUGCGUUUUGAGCAGGGAUGAAACAAACGACACCAAAGGUUCAGCCAUUCGCAAUCGGAGACGAAGAGGAGGAUGAUCGGAGAAGACGAACAAUUGGUGGGAAACAAAAAGCAAGGGUUUAUAUGCUUUUUAUACGGCAUAAUUUAAAUAUAUUUCCUGUAAAUUUAACUCUAUUGCCUCCUGAUUAAUUGAAUUUUGUUUUGGUAACCUUUUAGUUGACAAAUUAAAUAUAGUUUUUUAGAUUGUGCGUUUGAGUUUUAAUUAGGUGUACUAUAGAUUUUAUUUAAAUUUUUAAACUUUAACUAAAAUCACUCAAAUAACUUCAAAACUCAUCUAAAUCCCACCAAAAUUAAAACACUCCACAACUCCUUAAAUAUAGUUUUUGGGUUUGUAAAGAGUAAAAUUUCAACAGAUCUAAACUGUAAGAUAUUUUACUUAUUGUUUUCUUAGGUUCUAAUCCGUACCAAAAUACAAAAUCGUAAUUUAAAACUAAAAUUUGGGCCAAAAUAUGAAAUUUUAUUGAAAAAGAUAAACUACACCUGAUUUUAUAUAUUUUAUUAGAUAAACAUUUAAUAUGUGCCAAAAUGAAGAAAGUUGUCUUUAGAAAAAAAAACUUCUUUUUUUUUUACUAAUUCUAAUACAAGUAAAUAGCUUCCUUUUAUCCCUUAACCAGCUUGUUAAUAAUAACUUGAGCUGCAAGUUAUUGAAGCUUACCCAACAUUAAAAGACCUCCGUUUUUCGUUUGUUUGUGGAUGAAACGAAAUAAUAUAUUUGAGUUUAGUACCUAAAACCCGAAAGCAUUCACUCUAAAAUCCAAUGAGAAAGGUUUUAUAUGUAUCAUACAAUAUAUGAUGGAAAGAAAGUGUGAUGCUUGCGGAAUCAACAAGCAACAUUUGAACCAAACGCGUCCAUUAAUCAUAGUAAGACCUUUUUCAUAGGUUCACCAGGUGUGAUCUGAAUUUUAACACUCUGUUGCCUUCAUCCUGCUCAAUUUAUGCAUAAAUAUCUUUCGGGUGAAAGACAACAUGAACACUUAAGGACAUACACAAGCUGCUACCGAUCCACCGACUGCAUUUGACACAAAAACCAUCGGCUGCCUUGUGUUUCUUCUUGGGAAAUUAAACCCCGUUGCAAUGUAGCAUAAUGGCAGGAACGUGACCUCGUUGAACAUAACGUCGUCAUUGGCGAAUUCUCUGGUUAAAGGAGUUGUUAGAAUUGGGCCAAAUUGUGUUGAAUUCUAUUUUGUACACAACGAAAAACAUUUAAUGUCCUUUUUUGAUCUGUCAUUCAAAAAAGUGGAACCUUAUAUAAAACUUAAGGUAAUUGUAGCAAUACUAUAACUUAGCUUUUCUUUUACACUGCAGAAAAAAAAAGCACAAGGUUCAAAGAGAUUAUUCCUUCCUAAAAAAAUCUUCAAAGAGAUGUCAGAUUAUUGAUGAUUUCACAUCCAGGAGAACGUAUUGUGAACGUAGGAAGCGCCUCCGAGAUCUCUAAGACGCUAUUGGUAACCGAAGAGAAACACAAAACGAGUUUCUUGAGGACUAACGAGUUCUCAAGAAUAUACCUCACUACUUCAAUCCAAAUCUUCUUCAUGUGUUUUGAUACUUUGGUUCUCUUGAUGUACCUCGCUCUUUUCUUCCCAGCUUUCUCCACCGUGGCCACUUCUUUAACCUCAACACACUCAAGCGUACAUAGUAAGCACUGUGGCACAACGGUAAGCUCAAGGUUCUCUGGUUCUAAGUCCUUCAAAUAAAGCAAGUUCUGCCAAACAAAAUAAAAUAGAAAACCAAAAUUAGUUUAUGUGUUCUUAGGCCAAAAAAAUCAUAUAGUUUAGUAACAAGAAUGUACCAAUGUGAGGUGUUUCAGCUUCGGGAAACCUUCAAGAAAAUGUGGCAACCUUUGUAAUAAGACGGUGCAGAACGAAACCUCUAAGCGAGUUAAGUUGCUAAAUUUGGUGAACGCUCCAUUAUUCAUCCAAGAAUAAAGGCUCUGCAAGAACAAACAUAAUAACAAUUUAUUUGGUGUUACAAAAAAAUAAAAAAUAAAAAUAACAAUUUAUUCAUAGUUUGUUAUAAAUGUAUUACCUCGAGUGUAGGCUGAGAGAUGAUCAUAUGUCUUACACCAGAAACACCCUUGAGAAAAUCACUGAUAAUAGCUUGCUUCAUCUGCACGGUAAUAGUAGUGGUAAUACCAAAACUGAAUUGUGCAUCAAUGUCGACCUUGAACAAGGAGCUCAGAUUCUUAGCCACAACUCUAUCAGAUAGAUUAUCUCCGAAGUUCAUAUACUUGAGACCCGGAGCAUCAACCUCAACAGCAUACUCUUUACCAUGAAUUAUUCUGGCACGACUUAACUUCACACAAAACCUCUUCAGACUGAGAGAUCUCACACGCAUCACCGGUACAUUGUCAUCAAAAGCCCUAAACACCGUCAGAUCUUCAAGGACAGGACAGCCUGAGAUGAGCUUCUCUACGAUCAAAGGAUCCUUGGUGGUAAUGUCUUCGAGAUGCAUGGUCUUGAGACAAGGCAGAGAAACACCAAGCUCAGGAGGAUUCUGCAUUCCCACGUUUGCAAGCUUGAGAGAAACCAAAGUGUUGCUCUUGUAAAUGUUAACAUGUACGAGAUCGUUGGUGAGAGGACGCUUGUGUGUGCUACUGCCAACGUCUAGUUGCUGAACUCCACGGUUAACCACUCCGGCGAUGAACUCACUGUUCCCCUGGCUACAAACAUUGCGUCCGUUGUACGUUAUCUUGAACUU